UACGGAGGGGGCUAGCGUUGUUCGGAAUUACUGGGCGUAAAGCGCACGUAGGCGGCUUUGUAAGUUAGAGGUGAAAGCCCGGGGCUCAACUCCGGAAUUGCCUUUAAGACUGCAUCGCUAGAAUUGUGGAGAGGUAAGUGGAAUUCCGAGUGUAGAGGUGAAAUUCGUGGAUAUUCGGAGGAACACCAGUGGCGAAGGCGGCUCACUGGUCUGGUACUGACGCUGAGGUGCGAAAGCGUGGGGAGCAAACAGG
rnacentral:rRNA from 1 species